AGCGGGGUAGCUCAUCUGGUCAGAGCGGUCGUCUCAUAAGCGACAGGUAAAGGGUUCGAAUCCCUUCCCCGCUACCA
rnacentral:tRNA from 1 species